UAUUGGACAAUGGGCGCAAGCCUGACCCAGCAAUGCCGCGUGUGUGAAGAAGGUCUUCGGAUUGUAAAGCACUUUCGACGGGGACGAUGAUGACGGUACCCGUAGAAGAAGCCCCGGCUAACUUCGUGCCAGCAGCCGCGGUAAUACGAAGGGGGCUAGCGUUGCUCGGAAUCACUGGGCGUAAAGGGCGCGUAGGCGGCCUGAUUGGUUAGGCGUGAAAUCCCCGGGCUUAACCUGGGGGCUGCGUUUAAGACAGUCAGGCUUGAGUUCGAAAGAGGGUAGUGGAAUUCCCAGUGUAGAGGUGAAAUUCGUAGAUAUUGGGAAGAACACCGGUGGCGAAGGCGGCCUACCGGCCCGGAUCCUGACGCUGAGGCGGAA
rnacentral:rRNA from 1 species